rnacentral:rRNA from 1 species
UACAGAGGGUGCGAGCGUUAAUCGGAAUUACUGGGCGUAAAGCGUGCGCAGGCGGUUCGUUGUGUCGGUGGUGAAAUCCCCGGGCUUAACCUGGGAAUGGCCAUGGAAACUGGCGAACUGGAGUGUGGCAGAGGGGGGUGGAAUUCCGCGUGUAGCAGUGAAAUGCGUAGAGAUGCGGAGGAACACCGAUGGCGAAGGCAGCCCCCUGGGCUAACACUGACGCUCAGGCACGAAAGCGUGGGGAGCAAACAGG